UUCUCUCCUCUCCUACACCCAUUUCUCCCAUUCAUUCACAGAUUAGAGAGACCUCUCCCUCUCUCCCUCUCUCUCUCUCUCUGAGUCUCGGUCUCUCUUCGUUUCUUCAGUCUAGGGUUGGUUUUGUGAGAUGGAGAGGAUCAAAGAAAACAAGGGAGUCUUGUGUUUUUUGAGGGGAAUGUUGUCUGGCUCGAGGCCCCUAUAACCAGAUCUAUGAUCUAACUCAUCUCAAUUGACAAAAUUUGGUCAUCGGUCUAUGAUAUCAUAGAUUUGAUCCAAUUGAGAUGCAGAUCAUUGAAUCUACAUUUAGCGACGUCGGACCAGGCUUCAUUCCCCCCAAUUACUCGCUUCCGAUGACACAGAUCUUGAUCUAUACAAAACCACCCAUGGGUUGGUUUUACCUCCAAAGAACAGAAGCUGAUUGGGGUAAUGAUGAAGGGUUUUGACUGUGGUUUUUUUUUUUUUUUCAAUUUUAACUCUGACGGAUGUGGGGAAAGACCAUCAUUACACUUUUAUUUUUAUCUCUAAAUUCCAUGAAUAUUUGCAGGAGUUUUUGGGCUUCCUUGUCAGUCUCAGUCCCUCCUUAACUCUCUUUCUUCAGGUCCUUCAUAUCAUUGGGUUAUGAUGGUUUUUUCUCUUUCUUUUCCUUAAUGUUGGCUUUCAAGAAUCCUUCUCUGUCAACCUCUGCAACUCUAAAGACUUUUAAUUGGCUCGGUUCCUUUUACUUACGACACCCCCCGAAACCCUAUUUCCCCUUGUGCACAAUAGCAUAGGGUUUUCAGUUUCCACAGUGCUACGCUCUCUGUUAAAUAACCUUAAGUUUUUCUUGACUGAAUAUCUGCUGUUUCAGUUACAGAUUUAAAUGCUGGAAUUGCAUGGGCUUCAUCUUUUCUCUUGGUUUUUAAUUACCUUGUUUUGGUUGUUAGUGAUCAAGUGGGUGGAUUCAACGUGAAGGUAGCUGUGUAUUCUCCGCCUCCUAGAUCUGGGACAACUCAGCAGUAAAAAUAUUGUUCUUUGUUGUAUGAUAUCAGAUUUGGGAUGUCUUGUACAGAUCAAAUUAUUUGCCUCUGUAUAUGUAUUCAGUUUGUUUUGAUGUUAAUACAACCUCUUCGAUUUUGAAAGA